GACGAACGCUGGCGGCGUGCUUAACACAUGCAAGUCGAACGGAAAGGCCCUGCUUUUGUGGGGUGCUCGAGUGGCGAACGGGUGAGUAACACGUGAGUAACCUGCCCUUGACUUUGGGAUAACUUCAGGAAACUGGGGCUAAUACCGGAUAGGAGCUCCUGCUGCAUGGUGGGGGUUGGAAAGUUUCGGCGGUUGGGGAUGGACUCGCGGCUUAUCAGCUUGUUGGUGGGGUAGUGGCUUACCAAGGCUUUGACGGGUAGCCGGCCUGAGAGGGUGACCGGCCACAUUGGGACUGAGAUACGGCCCAGACUCCUACGGGAGGCAGCAGUGGGGAAUAUUGCACAGUGGGCGGAAGCCGGAUGCGGCAACGCCGCGUGCGGGAUGACGGCCUUCGGGUUGUAAACCGCUUUCGCCUGUGACGAAGCGUGAGUGACGGUAAUGGGUAAAGAAGCACCGGCUAACUACGUG
rnacentral:rRNA from 1 species